GACGGAGGGUGCUAGCGUUGUUCGGAAUGACUGGGCGUAAAGGGCGCGUAGGCGGCUCGUGAAGUCGGGUGUGAAAGCCCGGGGCUCAACCCCGGAACGGCAUCCGAUACUGGCGGGCUUGAGACCGGGAGAGGAGGGUGGAAUACCCAGUGUAGAGGUGAAAUUCGUAGAUAUUGGGUGGAACACCGGUGGCGAAAGCGGCUCUCUGGCCCGGAUCUGACGCUGAGACACGAAAGCGUGGGUAGCAAACAGG
rnacentral:rRNA from 1 species